GAUGAACGCUGGCGGCGUGCUUAACACAUGCAAGUCGAACGGUGAACGAGGGAGCUUGCUCCCUCCGGAUCAGUGGCGAACGGGUGAGUAACACGUGAGCAAUCUGCCCCGAACUCUGGGAUAAGCGCUGGAAACGGCGUCUAAUACCGGAUACGACGCGCGAAGGCAUCUUCUGCGCGUGGAAAGAAUUUCGGUUCGGGAUGAGCUCGCGGCCUAUCAGCUAGUUGGUGAGGUAACGGCUCACCAAGGCGACGACGGGUAGCCGGCCUGAGAGGGUGACCGGCCACACUGGGACUGAGACACGGCCCAGACUCCGACGGGAGGCAGCAGUGGGGAAUAUUGCACAAUGGGCGCAAGCCUGAUGCAGCAACGCCGCGUGAGGGACGACGGCCUUCGGGUUGUAAACCUCUUUUAGUAGGGAAGAAGCGAAAGUGACGGUACCUGCAGAAAAAGCACCGGCUAACUACGUGCCAGCAGCAGCCGCGGUAA
rnacentral:rRNA from 1 species